rnacentral:rRNA from 1 species
UACGUAGGGGGCUAGCGUUGUCCGGAAUCAUUGGGCGUAAAGCGCGUGUAGGCGGUCCGGUAAGUCCGCUGUGAAAGUCGGGGGCUCAACCCUCGGAUGCCGGUGGAUACUGUCGGGCUUGAGUACGGAAGAGGCGAGUGGAAUUCCUGGUGUAGCGGUGAAAUGCGCAGAUAUCAGGAGGAACACCAAUUGCGAAGGCAGCUCGCUGGGACGAUACUGACGCUGAGACGCGAAAGCGUGGGGAGCAAACAGG